UGAAUCCCAUCCACCCCAGGUUCCCCUGUGGCCAGAGCAAGAGGGUUGGGACAGGCAAGUUGUGCUGUCCCUCCUUGGGACAUACUGGUGCCAUUGGAGAGGGGGACGGGGUGUCAGGCUGGCAUGGGUGCCCACAGGUUCUAGCAAUGCUAUCCCUGGCCAGCUUGUGGACAGCCUGGGUGCCAGCUGUGGGACAGCCAGGGUGCUAUGACUUCUCUGGCUACCUCUCCCUCCUCCAGCACCUUAGAGGUGUGCUGGUUGUCUCUGUGUUUCUCUGUGGCUCUUCUCCAUUUUGGUUCUUUCCCUUCACACCCUGCUCCCGAUCCCAACAGGCAAGGAGAAGGUAGCAGCCAUGGUUGUGGUGGAAGAAGGCAAGGAGAAGGUAGCAGAUCUGGGGAAGUCACAUCUCUCUUCUGCAGGCUGGAAUUGUCUCCGGCUCCACCAGCACAGCCCAGUUCCAUGGAUGGGCUCUCCUCAAGACAUGGAAUGCUAAGGGGCUCCUACACAGGGGCAGGGACACCUCCAUCUCCACUGCCCUGCUGGGAGCUCUCCUGGCCAGUGGGAAAGAGCAGAUGUCCCUUGCAUUCUACCCAGGAGCAAUGUUCCAGCUAAUGCCACUAACACCAGUAACACCAGGGCCCCGAGCCCCCUGCUGAGCCUGGAUGGCAGGCAUGAAGACCUCCAUCCUUGACUGUUUAACCCAAAACUAAUGUCUGUGUGGAGGAGCUCCUGCUCCCUAUAACACUGAUCAGGAGGACACACUCACA